GCUCGCGUAUUUCUUCUUCUUCCUUUCUUUUCCCCUGCUUUUCCAUCUUCUUUUUUCCCUCGUUCUCGCCUUCUCUUCCACCACCUCCGAAUUCCCACCUUAUCCAUUGAAGCCGUUUAUGAGCUUUCUCACUCCAUUGAAGCAGCCGCACCUCCUUCUCUCUCCAUAUCUCUCCUCCAUUGAACUCGUGCUCUUUAUUCUCCAUUGAAGCGGAUUCUGAGCUUUCUCACCUCCAUUGAAGCAGCUUCGAGGGUUCUGGUAAUCUAAGGCUUGUCAUUAAAGCGCGCACGGCUCCACCUCCACCACAACCGCCUCCUUGUCACGGCCGCACGACCUUCUUUUUCUAGGGUUUAUCGUCAAUUCCCCCCCUUUUCUUCGAUCUCCUUCUCCGCCACUGCGCCGCAAGCGUUUCCAUCAAUGGCUAGGGUUUUCAGAAACUAGAGUUUCUGAAUUGUGAUAAACACCAAUGGAGAAAACGACAUCACAGUACAGUUCUGUUUUCUACUGUAUUUUGUGGAAGCUGUUCCUGAGGCGCAGCUUCAAUCUGAAAUCAGCCCGUCUUCUACAAAUCUACAGGAGUUUACUACAAUUUAAUAGAAAUUGAGAAAAAAAGUCGGGCAACUAUGAGGACUCUAUUAUACUGAUAUAUUUAAAGAAAACAAGAAGGACUAGUACAUUCAGAAGAUAGGCAAGAGAGAUUAUUUUACCCUUCUGAAGUCUUAUUUGGCAGGGUUUUGAAGUAUAAGUUCAUCAUUGUAAGGUUAUUGAACCAGUUCCGUUUUCUACUGUAUUUUCUAGAACUUCUUGUGGGCUGUGGCAUGGCUUCAAUCUGAUAUUAGCCUGUCUACAGUAGUUUACUCGGAUUUUCUUGAAAUUGAGACAAAGAUUAAGGCUGCUAGAGCUCACUGCUCUUACAAUAUUUAAAGGCCAAGGAAAUCAUUUGAUUCUUGUAGCCUAGGUUCUGGCUAAGGGGUAAAGGAUUACACUGGAACCAGCAAUUUCAAAUCGAGUGAUCUCUAGAAAUAGCAGAGCGCCACCAGCACAGCACCACAGCAGCCGCAGCAGAACCCAGCAAACACAGCAUCCAGCAGCCAAACCAGCCAGCAACACAUCACUACAACAGAGCAGCAAACACCAAGCACAGCCUGACCAGAGCAGAACAGAAACACAGCAGCUCAAGAACUCAAACCAGUCACCCAGCCAGCCUGAACAUAACAGAGACACAGCCACAGAAGCAAACAGAUGCCCAGCCAGCCUGAACAGGACAGAGGCACAGCAGCGCAGCAGAACA